rnacentral:rRNA from 1 species
CGUGUAGGCGGUUGGGUAAGUCAGAUGUGAAAGCCUUCUGCUUAACAGAAGAAGUGCAUUUGAAACUGCUCGGCUAGAGUACGGGAGAGGAGAGUGGAAUUCCCGGUGUAGAGGUGAAAUUCGUAGAUAUCGGGAGGAACACCAGUGGCGAAGGCGGCUCUCUGGUCCGAUACUGACGCUGAGACGCGAAAGCGUGGGGAGCAACAGGAUUAGAUACCCUGGUAGUCCACGCCGUAAACGAUGGGCACUAGGUGUAGGAGGUAUUGACCCCUUCUGUGCCGAAGCUAACGCAUUAAGUGCCCCGCCUGGGGAGUACGGCCGCAAGGCUAAA